AAAAAAAAGAUGGAACUAAGCAGAGGAUCUAUCUAAACCCCGGUCAGCAGACCAUCCCCGUACACCCAAACCCCUUGCUCAAAUCCAGAAAUAGAAUCCAAAUAAAGCACAAGAGAAAGUAAACUACGAACAUCAAACCAUAAUUGAAAACUUGCAUAAUACUUAGCUACCCUUGCUAACGAAUGAGCCGCUAAGUUGGCGAGUCUACUAGUACAAUGGAAGGACAAGCUCAAAAAACUGUUACGAAGAGUUAAACAAUCUUGAAUUAAACUGCCCACCUCAGAAAAAUUCUCUUCAACCGAUGAUAGACCAGUAAAGAGAGACAAGCAGUACAUCUUGACAUCAACAUGAUCCAAUCCUUGAUUG
rnacentral:misc_RNA from 1 species